rnacentral:rRNA from 1 species
UACCAGCACCCCGAGUGGUCGGGACGUUUAUUGGGCCUAAAGCAUCCGUAGCCGGUUUCUACAAGUCUUCCGUUAAAUCCACCUGCUUAACAGAUGGGCUGCGGAAGCUACUAUGGAGCUAGGAGGCGGGAGAGGCAAGCGGUACUCGAUGGGUAGGGGUAAAAUCCGUUGAUCCAUUGAAGACCACCAGUGGCGAAGGCGGCUU